rnacentral:lncRNA from 1 species
GUUGUUCACAUCCCUCUAGAAAAUCCAUAUAAACUAAAUCAUCUGCAAAAUCCUCAGUGUUAAUAACUCACAGACAAUCUGUUCCCAGUAACCAUCUUAUCAUGAACACUCUGGAGUGCCCACUGAAGACAUCACAAGCAUACAUGUUAUCCAUUCCACUUAGGAUCAGGGUGAUCACAUGAAUGCUUCCAAGAGCCUCAAUCAAGUCAUUCCCAGUGGAUCACAGUUAUGUGUAAGGUGACACACGUUUGUCACC